rnacentral:rRNA from 1 species
AGUCGAGGGGUAUGGUUCUUCGGAACCAGAGACCGGCGCACGGGUGCGUAACGCGUAUGCAAUCUGCCUUUUACAGAGGGAUAGCCCAGAGAAAUUUGGAUUAAUACCUCAUAGUAUAGUACAGCCGCAUGGCUGAACUAUUAAAGUCACAACGGUAAAAGAUGAGCAUGCGUCCCAUUAGCUGGUUGGUAAGGUAACGGCUUACCAAGGCGACGAUGGGUAGGGGUCCUGAGAGGGAGAUCCCCCACACUGGUACUGAGACACGGACCAGACUCCUACGGGAGGCAGCAGUGAGGAAUAUUGGACAAUGGGCGCAAGCCUGAUCCAGCCAUGCCGCGUGCAGGAUGACGGUCCUAUGGAUUGUAAACUGCUUUUAUACGAGAAGAAACACUGAUUCGUGAAUCAGCUUGACGGUAUCGUAAGAAUAAGGAUCGGCUAACUCCGUGCCAGCAGCCGCGGUAAUACGGAGGAUCCAAGCGUUAUCCGGAAUCAUUGGGUUUAAAGGGUCCGUAGGCGGUUUAGUAAGUCAGUGGUGAAAGCCCAUCGCUCAACGGUGGAACGGCCAUUGAUACUGCUGAACUUGAAUUAUUAGGAAGUAACUAGAAUAUGUAGUGUAGCGGUGAAAUGCUUAGAGAUUACAUGGAAUACCAAUUGCGAAGGCAGGUUACUACUAAUGGAUUGACGCUGAUGGACGAAAGCGUGGGUAGCGAACAGGAUUAGAUACCCUGGUAGUCCACGCCGUAAACGAUGGAUACUAGCUGUUGGAAGCAAUUUCAGUGGCUAAGCGAAAGUGAUAAGUAUCCCACCUGGGGAGUACGUUCGCAAGAAUGAAACUCAAAGGAAUUGACGGGG